CGUCUAUGCAGUUAUAUGUUUUGCCUUUUCGACACUUCUCAGCUUUUGAGGCUAAUUAGCUUGUCAGGUCUCUGUUUCUUUAACUUGAACAUCUCUUUAUCAAACCAAAAUCUGCAGCACAGAGAUCAUCAGAAAAGAAUUCAAGGUUGGAGUAUUUUCUUCUCUAUUUCAUUCUUGAAAUCCAACUAAACUCACCAAAAUCCUUAAAAAUCGUAUCUUUA
rnacentral:misc_RNA from 1 species